rnacentral:rRNA from 1 species
UACGAAGGGGGCUAGCGUUGUUCGGAAUUACUGGGCGUAAAGCGUAUGCAGGCGGACCGUUAAGUCGGAGGUGAAAUCCCAGGGCUCAACCCUGGAACUGCCUUCGAUACUGGCGGCCUUCGAGUCCGGGAGAGGUGAGUGGAACUCCGAGUGUAGAGGUGAAAUUCGUAGAUAUUCGGAAGAACACCAGUGGCGAAGGCGGCUCACUGGCCCGGUACUGACGCUGAGAUACGAAAGCGUGGGGAGCAAACGGG